GCCCUAAUAGUAUAANUAUUACCUUGGUCUUGUAAACCAAAAAUGAAGNNACUUCAAUCUUCUUAGGGCA
rnacentral:tRNA from 1 species